rnacentral:rRNA from 1 species
UACGUAGGGUGCAAGCGUUGUCCGGAAUUAUUGGGCGUAAAGGGCUCGUAGGCGGUUUGUCACGUCGGGAGUGAAAACUCGGGGCUCAACCCCGAGCCUGCUUCCGAUACGGGCAGACUAGAGGUAUGCAGGGGAGAAUGGAAUUCCUGGUGUAGCGGUGAAAUGCGCAGAUAUCAGGAGGAACACCGGUGGCGAAGGCGGUUCUCUGGGCAUUACCUGGCGCUGAGGAGCGAAAGUGUGGGGAGCGAACAGG